rnacentral:ncRNA from 1 species
GAAUAAUACCCCGAGCCUGCCGACCUGCGGAAGCGCGCUUCUAUGGCGUCAGGCCGAUGGGUGCCCGCGGAAACGCCGGCGCCUCCCGUUUGGAAAGGGGAAAAGGA